UGCCAGCAGCCGCGGUAAUACGGAGGGGGUUAGCGUUGUUCGGAAUUACUGGGCGUAAAGCGCACGUAGGCGGAUUAGAAAGUUAGAGGUGAAAUCCCUGGGCUCAACCCUGGAACUGCCUUUAAAACUCCUAGUCUUGAGUUCGAGAGAGGUGAGUGGAAUUCCAAGUGUAGAGGUGAAAUUCGUAGAUAUUUGGAGGAACACCAGUGGCGAAGGCGGCUCACUGGCUCGAUACGGACGCUGAGGGACGAAAGCGUGGGGAGCGAACAGGAUUAGAUA
rnacentral:rRNA from 1 species